ensembl:lncRNA RFPL3S RFPL3 antisense
UGUGCUGAGUUUUUCAAAGUUCAUAGCAGGUUGAACAUGCUUGCUGUCAUUUUCACAGAUUCUGGUCUUUCUUAUGGGGAACCUGAGUUCCUGCAUUAAAGUUCCCCCAGAAGAUCAAUGGAAGGUGGAUUCCAAAGAGUGGGCAAGUGAGGACCCCUUCUCUGUUACCAAGGUGACCCCAAGGAACACAGUAAAUGAAAUUUUAAGAAGAUAUAGCCUCUACACCAAGAGGCACAUGACACAACCUGGACUCUGGGCAAACCACCGGGUGCACUCACAUGAAGGUACCGUGGAAAUUUAUUAAGUUGAUUUAAGAAUAACAAUUGUGGAUUGUAUUCAGUGUCCCAUAUGUUAGAAGAAGCUAUAGAGGAGGUUAAGCCAUAUGUUUAAAUGUGCCAAAAUUUUUAUUUGCCUAAUCAAGAGGUAUUGCUGAAAUCACAAAAUUAAAUAUACAU